CCUACGGGUGGCAGCAGUAAGGAAUAUUGGUCAAUGGGCGGAAGCCUGAACCAGCCAUGCCGCGUGCAGGAUGACUGCCCUAUGGGUUGUAAACUGCUUUUGUCCAGGAAUAAACCUCUUUACGAGUAGAGAGCUGAAUGUACUGGAAGAAUAAGGAUCGGCUAACUCCGUGCCAGCAGCCGCGGUAAUACGGAGGAUCCGAGCGUUAUCCGGAUUUAUUGGGUUUAAAGGGUGCGUAGGCGGCCUAUUAAGUCAGGGGUGAAAUACGGUGGCUCAACCAUCGCAGUGCCUUUGAUACUGAUGGGCUUGAAUCCAUUUGAAGUGGGCGGAAUAAGACAAGUAGCGGUGAAAUGCAUAGAUAUGUCUUAGAACUCCGAUUGCGAAGGCAGCUCACUAAGCUGGUAUUGACGCUGAUGCACGAAAGCGUGGGGAUCGAACAGGAUUAGAUACCCUAGUAGUC
rnacentral:rRNA from 1 species